rnacentral:misc_RNA from 1 species
UUCUCCUGCUUGCAAGUACAAUUUUGUAUAUCCAUAGCAAACUCUCUUUGGUUAUUUCUACAGGUUAAAUGUCACAAAUACUGGCCUGAUGAAGGAGAAUCACUUGUUACACAGACAUUUGAGCUCAAACUUGACAGAGAGAUGACCUAUGCUUUCUAUGUCAUCCGUGAUAUUUCAAUCACCCAUAAAAAGACUAAAGAAGAGCGUCAGGUCCAUCAGUUUCAUUUUACUAAAUGGCCUGACCACGGAACUCCGGACACGUUGGAGCUCGUCCUCUUUGGCCGCCGUGUGACGUCAUAUAAAACACAACUGACGGGACAGAUGAUUGUACACUGCAGAUGUUUAUCUCACAAUUUUGAUGGACAAUUUGGCUGGAAAUCCCACGAAGAGGAAUUCACCCUAUAACCUAUUUGUACAGUGCUGGCAUUGGGAGGACUGGGACUUUUAUCGGUUUAAAUGCAUUGCUUACUCAUGGCAAGAACACAGGAAAAGUCGACAUUCCCAGAUACGUCGGAACCAUGAGGAAUGGCAGAAUGAACAUGAUCCAGACUUAUGAGCAGUACAUCGGCUUGCACGAAUUACUUGUAGAAGGAUUCAAUUUACAAAAAUCACUCAUUUUUCGAGUGAAUUUCCCUGCUGUCCUGUCAACAAUGUGUCCUACAAAUACACCAGCGAAUCGGACAAAGAUUCAUCAGGAAUUUAAGGUAUUAAAAUCAUUAACUCCAAACUACUCCCCGAGUUGUUUUAAAGCUGCAUUACUGGAAGAAAAUUUGGAAAAGAACCGGAAUAAGGACAUCCUAGCAGGUAUUUCAUUACCGUAAUAUAUUGAAUUGCAAAGGUUGUAACUCGCACUGCUCACGAUGAUUGCCAAUGCGAUAUUGAAUGAUGUUCAGUGUAAUUCACUGCACUGUGUGCUUUCGGCAAGGUGUUUCAAUGAAAUACCACUCAUCAGCAUCACUUCAGCACUAUUGCAAAUACUGUCAUGAAAACACCAUGCACAAAGUUCAAUGAACCGUUUGAUCACUUAACUUUGUCAUGAUUUUAGCGCGGCUGUACUUGACCCAUAGAUGACAACGCAUGCUUCACAUGUUUGGAUGCAAUUAUUUAACUGAUAUAUCAAAGGACAUGCUUAUAAGAUAGUGUGUAUCAUAAAUAUAUAACAUGUGCAAUCAUCACUGUAUUGUUAAAGUACUCGAUUUACGACUUGACAAAAAUCACCUUCACGGUUCUCGCAUGCAAACAUAGCAACAUUUGGUAGGUCUUUUGGUAGACUUUGUCUAUUCAUGUAUAUUCUGAGCUCAGAUUGCAUCAUCGUGGGAUG